GGAGAAGUGAUAGCUCAGUGGUAGAACAGUUGCUUUGCAUGCAGAAGGUCCCAGGUUCAACCCCCAGCAUCUCCA
rnacentral:tRNA from 1 species